rnacentral:rRNA from 1 species
AUUGAACGCUGGCGGCAGGCCUAACACAUGCAAGUCGAGCGGAGCGGCGGACGGGUGAGUAAUGACUAGGAAUCUGCCUGGUAGUGGGGGAUAACGUCCGGUAACGGGCGCUAAUACUGCAUACUAUCAGAUGAGCCUAGGUCGGAUUAGGGAGUUGGUGGGGUAAAGGCCUACCAAGGCGACGAGCCGUAACUGGUCGGAGAGGAUGAUCAGUCACACGGGAAAUGGGACACGGUCCAGACUCCUACGGGAGGCAGCAGUGGGGAAUAUUGUACAAUGGGCGAAAGCCUGAUCCAGCCAUGCCGCGUGUGUGAAGAAGGUCUUCGGCUUGUAAAGCACUUUAAGUUGGGAGGCGUUACCAACAGAAUAAGCACCGGCUAACUUCGUGCCAGCAGCCGCGGUAAUAC